rnacentral:rRNA from 1 species
UACGAAGGGGGCUAGCGUUGUUCGGAAUUACUGGGCGUAAAGCGCGCGCAGGCGGUUCUUCAAGUCAGAGGUGAAAGCCCAGAGCUCAACUCUGGAAUGGCCUUUGAGACUAGAGAACUAGGGUACGGGAGAGGUGAGUGGAAUUCCGAGUGUAGAGGUGAAAUUCGUAGAUAUUCGGAAGAACACCAGUGGCGAAGGCGGCUCACUGGUCCGGUACUGACGCUGAGGUGCGAAAGCGUGGGGAGCAAACAGG